rfam:Rattus norvegicus chromosome 18, whole genome shotgun sequence.
GGGGAUUUAGCUCAGUGGUAGAGCACUUGCCUAGCAAGCACAAAGCCUUGGGUUCAGUCCCCA